CGUGUAGGCGGUUUGAUAAGCUAUAUGUGAAAGACCACAGCUCAACUGUGGGAACGCAUCUGGAACUGUCAGACUAGAGUUCAGGAAGGGAAGCCGAAAUUCCUGGUGUAGGGGUGAAAUCUGUAGAUAUCAGGAAGAACACCGAUGGCGAAGGCAGGCUUCUAGACAUGAACUGACGCUGAGGCGCGAAAGCGUGGGGGAGCGAACA
rnacentral:rRNA from 1 species